rnacentral:tRNA from 1 species
CUAGGCUGAUGGGCCUCGAUCCCACGUGCUCCUAGUUAACAGCUAGGCGCCCAAACCAGCGAGCUUCAACCUA